rnacentral:lncRNA from 12 species
GUUAGGGUUAAUUAUAAUUAGGAGUUACGAAACGGCUUAAAACAGCGCGAAAACAUUUCCGCUCACUUUCAUGAUUAAUAUCUCUAGUGUUGCACAAGCCAGCACGGAGCAUCCUGCCAAUUAUGCAAGCACAGUCGCGAGGUCGGCGGGCAGCACCGGCUACAAAAGACAGUACAGGCUAAUUUACAGGCUUAACGCUCGGAGCUGCACAUUGUCUUGGGCGUGCACCUUUAUUUGGGGGAAAUAAGAAAAAAAGGGGGAAAAAAAAGAAGAAGAAGAAACAGCAGGAUUGCAGAUGUUGGCAUGUCAUUGAGGUUAGCUUGGCACAGACCUGAAAACCCUGAACAUGUAUUUAAUAGUGCAGUUUAGGUCACACUGAACAAGCAGUUCUUUUAGCUUUGUACUGAUGCCAGCUAAAUCCAGACAGAUGCUGCAGUUGAAGUC